AUCUACGGCCAUGCCACCCUGAACAAGCCCAAUCCCAUCUGAUCUCGGAAGCUAGGUGAGGUCUGGUUAGUACUUGGAUGAGAGACCACCUAGGAAAACCAGGUGCUAUAGGCA
rnacentral:rRNA from 1 species